rnacentral:rRNA from 1 species
AGCAUAUCAAUAAGCGGAGGAAAAGAAACCAACAGGGAUUGCCCCAGUAACGGCGAGUGAAGCGGCAACAGCUCAAAUUUGAAAUCUGGCUCUCGGGCCCGAGUUGUAAUUUGUAGAGGAUGCUUUUGGUGAGGUGCCUUCCGAGUUCCCUGGAACGGGACGCCAUAGAGGGUGAGAGCCCCGUCUGGUUGGACACCGAUCCUCUGUAAAGCUCCUUCGACGAGUCGAGUAGUUUGGGAAUGCUGCUCUAAAUGGGAGGUAUAUGUCUUCUAAAGCUAAAUACCGGCCAGAGACCGAUAGCGCACAAGUAGAGUGAUCGAAAGAUGAAAAGAACUUUGAAAAGAGAGUUAAACAGUACGUGAAAUUGUUGAAAGGGAAGCGCUUGUGACCAGACUUGGGCUUGGUUGAUCAUCCGGGGUUCUCCCCGGUGCACUCUUCCGGCUCAGGCCAGCAUCAGUUCGCCCUGGGGGAUAAAGGCUUCGGGAAUGUGGCUCUCUCCGGGGAGUGUUAUAGCCCGCUGCGUAAUACCCUGUGGCGGACUGAGGUUCGCGCAUUCGCAAGGAUGCUGGCGUAAUGGUCAUCAGUGACCCGUCUUGAAACACGGACCAAGGAGUCGUCUUCGUAUGCGAGUGUUCGGGUGUCAAACCCCUACGCGAAAUGAAAGUGAACGCAGGUGAGAGCUUCGGCGCAUCAUCGACCGAUCCUGAUGUUAUCGGAUGGAUUUGAGUAAGAGCAUACGGGGCCGGACCCGAAAGAAGGUGAACUAUGCCUGUGUAGGGUGAAGCCAGAGGAAACUCUGGUGGAGGCUCGCAGCGGUUCUGACGUGCAAAUCGAUCGUCAAACAUGGGCAUGGGGGCGAAAGACUAAUCGAACCUUCUAGUAGCUGGUUUCCGCCGAAGU